GCCCCCAUAGCUCAUUUGGUAGAGCAUUCGCCUAGACAGCGAAAAGCCCACAGCCGCAGUUCAAGCCUGGGUGGAGGUA
rnacentral:tRNA from 1 species